UGCGUAGGUGGUUAGAUAAGUUAUCUGUAAAAUCCCCGGGCUUAACCUGGGCAGGUCAGAUAAGACUGUUUAACUGGAGUAUGGGAGAGGGUAGUGGAAUUUCCGGUGUAGCGGUGAAAUGCGUAGAGAUCGGAAGGAACACCAGUGGCGAAGGCGGCUACCUGGCCUAAUACUGACACUGAGGCACGAAAGCGUGGGGAGCAAACA
rnacentral:rRNA from 1 species